GGGGCGGCGCAGGCGGGGGCUGCUCUCCCCGCGCUCCCGCCGCCCCCGGGCGGACAAGUCUCGCCCCUCUCGCCACAGGAACUGUCCAGACAAUAACAAUCAGCAGACAUUUCGCUGCUGCACGAGAGGGAGAGAAAGCACAGCAUCGCCCCGAGAUAACCAGAAAUACAAUCAACUUACAACGUCUCUCCAAACUGGAAAAGGCGACUGUGCAACCACCACCACCACAUGUUCAGGGCCUACUGCAGUGCAUGAAGGUGGUAUGGACUCAGAACUCUGAAGUCUGAGGAGACAAAUACGUGCCCACCAUAACAACAUCACACAAUACCUAGAGUCAAAACAGUUAUCCCUAUUCCUACCCCCAACUGAGUUAUUCAAUAAAGCCUGCCUUAUGGAAUCUGUUUUCCCAUGUAUAGU
rnacentral:lncRNA from 1 species